CGUGUAGGCGGCUGGACAAGUCAGAUGUGAAAUCCCCUGGGCUUAACCCCAGGAAGUGCAUUUGAAACUGUCUAGCUGGAGUAAGGGAGAGGAAAGUGGAAUUCCUGGUGUAGAGGUGAAAUUCGUAGAUAUCAGGAGGAACACCGGUGGCGAAGGCGACUUUCUGGCCCUAUACUGACGCUGAGACGCGAAAGCGUGGGUAGCAAACA
rnacentral:rRNA from 1 species